UACGUAGGGGGCGAGCGUUGUCCGGAUUUACUGGGCGUAAAGGGCGCGUAGGCGGCUUAUCAAGUCAGGCGUGAAAUUCCCGGGCUCAACCUGGGGGCUGCGCUUGAUACUGAUUGGCUUGAAUGCGGGAGAGGAUAGUGGAAUUCCCAGUGUAGAGGUGAAAUUCGUAGAUAUUGGGAAGAACACCGGUGGCGAAGGCGGCUAUCUGGCCCGUAAUUGACGCUGAGGCGCGAAAGCGUGGGGAGCAAACAGG
rnacentral:rRNA from 1 species